GACGAACGCUGGCGGCGUGCUUAACACAUGCAAGUCGAACGAUGAAACCUAGCUUGCUAGGUCGAUUAGUGGCGAACGGGUGAGUAACACGUGACUAACCUGCCCCUUUCUCUGGGAUAACGCUCCGAAAGGAGUGCUAAUACCGGAUACUCACACCGAGGCACAUGCCUUGGUGUGGAAAGUUUUUCGGAAAGGGAUGGAGUCGCGGCCUAUCAGCUUGUUGGUGAGGUAACGGCUCACCAAGGCGACGACGGGUAGCCGGCCUGCGAGGGCGACCGGCCACACUGGGACUGAGUCACGGCCCAGUCUCCUACGGGAGGCAGCAGUGGGGAAUAUUGCACAAUGGGCGCAAGCCUGAUGCAGCGACGCCGCGUGAGGGAUGAAGGUCUUCGGAUUGUAAACCUCUUUCAGUAGGGACGAAGCGAAAGUGACGGUACCUAAAGAAGAAGCACCGGCUAACUACGUGCCAGCCGCCGCCGUAA
rnacentral:rRNA from 1 species